UGCAUCCUUUCCUCUAUACCAUUGACACCAUUCGGAAUUUUGCGAAAGUCACCAAUACCAAAAGCUUUUUGUGUGGAAUUAAAUACACAAUGAUCAGUCCCUACUAGCUGUAAAAUUCCUGAUGAAAGGGCAGCUCGAAGAACUUUCUGAUGCCCAGAUUUUCUUAUGGGGGGGCUCAUUACAUACUUUGAGGCUGUAGUGAAGUCGGGAUGCCAAAGCCACGAAUCCUCAAGUAUCAAACCAGAAAUUACAGGCUCCCCAAUAACCCUUUGACCUGAUAUUUUGGCCUUGGCAAUCUCUUCCAUGGCAUCACUG
rnacentral:misc_RNA from 1 species